rnacentral:lncRNA from 1 species
AAAAUAUCUGCAAUGGGGGAGAAUGAGUCAACUCCAAAGUUCACUCAUUGAACUUUGGGGCAGAGGCGGGUGAACUCCAAAGUUGCCAAUUUGGAAAACAGAGAAAAUGCAAACCUGUAGAUAGAUACUCAAUUUAGGGAGAGUUGUUUAUUAUUAUUAUUGUAACUAUAUUGUCAAUAGUGAAUUUUCACUCAGUUCUUACUAUGUGCUCAGCAGUGCUAAAAUUUACAAGCAUUGGUUCUGUGAGGGACAUACACACUCUAUGAGGAAAGUGCUAUUAUUAUCUUGUUUUACAGAUGGAGACAAAGAAGCUCAAGGAAAUUGGGUCCAGAAUGGUAGAGAAGAUGAUGGAUCUGUUUUGGAUAGAGUGAAUCAGUUCUCAAAGGGCAUCCCCAAAAAUCAGAAAUUGAACCUGUAGGAUAAAGUCAGGGCGAGCAGGGAAGAGGGGCAUGUAGAUCUCCACUAUUUGUUCAAUCAAUAAAUAAAAAUGUAGAAACAACACAAAAUCAGAAACUGACAUUAGGCAAGAUCAGGACUGAAAAGUAGCUUUGAGAACCAGGUGGUGCUGAAGACAGGGGUGUGGAUGUGAAUGAAAAACCUUCAGUGAUCAGAGCCCAGAGUGGGCUUGAGUGCUAAGUCGCUUCAGUCUUGUCCAGUUUUUGCAUCUCCAUGAUUGCAGCCUGCUGAGCUCCUCUGUCCAUGGGAUUCUCCAGGACAUGGUGGCUGAUUGGGCUGAGGAUCUACUGUGCACCCUGAGGGGAGGAAAGAGAGGCCCAGCGAGGAAGGCGAGAGGGAGACCAGAGCAGAAGGCUGCAGCAGAGUCUGAAUGGAUCCCCUCCUAUGCAUAUCAGGCCAGAGGCUGAAAGCAAAGCAUCAGUAACCGCCCCAGAAAGAAAAACCUGGAAAUGUUUUCAUCUCAUUUUCAAGGAGGACUUUUUACCCUAAAGACAGUCAGCAAAUGGAGAUGGCGGUAUCAGAACAACAAACUAGCAUUUCUUUCUUCUUUUUAAAAAGAAACACGAUUGUUUUGUCUCUGACUUACUCAUGUGCAGUGCGGAAAGAGGAAAUAGAGGCUGGUGAGGUAGAAGGAGCUGUCCUGCUGCUAAGUCCAAACAUUGGUGCUAAGAAGUCCCCAGACAGAUGGAGGACAUUCAUUCAGCACAGAAAUCGUGACAGAGAAGAAGUAAAGCCAAGAAAUACUGGCCUGGAAGUAACAUUAGAGGAAGCUAAGCAUCAAGAUCAGUGCUCCUGCCAUAACCCGAAUGGUAACAACAUUCCGACUGACUAAAUGUGGAAUUUCAUCUUUGGCCGCCG